UUUUUCCAGUGGUUUUGACUGACCGUUGACUGAUGCAUCUCAUCAUCAAGGCUCUCAGUUUCUAAUUUUGGUGGUAUUCAACAGUUGCAAAAUUCAUUUAAAUAUAGAUCGACAUAAUAUUUAGGAACUUUAAGACCAGAAGGGUGGAUGAAGAACUCAUUCAUACAUAAUAUCCUUAUAAGUGCACUAAUAAAAUGCAUGAAGCAGACCCGCACUAUAAUUUCUUCAUUCAGAUUGCUUGUGGCAGAUAAAUAGAUGGGUUUCUUUAAGCUAAGGCAAAACUGAGGCUAUGGUUUAUGUGAAACCAAGUUAUAAUUAAGUGUACUACCUCAUUUCCAUUCUAUACUAUAAGAAUUCCAUAGGAGUGUAAUUGGGUUUAUGUGAUAAACUUGAAAAAUAUCCUGGGGAUAUAAAUAAACAAACUGUUCUUCUGUCAUUGGUGUUUGUCAAUGAUAGGCUUUCAAUCCCUUUCUUAUCAGAACAAGUAUAAUUUUGCUGAGUGUUGGUUGCUAAUGAAGAGUGAUGUCUGGAGCAGAGAAAAUUGGCUCAACAUGGUCUCCAAAGAUCUUUACACAGUAGAGGUAACUGAGGCCAACCUUUUGCUGUAUUGGAUCUUCUAUUUAUAAUAUGAAGAGAUUUGUAUGCAUAUCUUGAGUAAUAAUAAAGCUUAUAUGUUGCAAUAGAGAUACACUAAACUAUUUCUUAAACAUUAGUUCAAAAUAUCAACUUUAUAGAGGCAUUAAAGAGCUUAUUUUUACUAUUUCACUUUGAUCAUAUGGUUUAAUUCUUUUAGGUUCUGAAUAUCGUGUCUAAAUACAGGUAUGUCUUUUUCAUAUUCAAUUACCAAAUAUUUCUAUUUUGAAUGUUUAUACUGGCUUUUACUUUAAACUAUAACUUUUGUCUUAACAUCAUAUUUGCAUUUCCUAUAGUUUGACUAGUAUCAUUUUCAAUUUUACGCUUUUCAUGGUUGCUAAUUUUUGGCAUCUAGAAUUAAUAGUAGUAAUUAAAUUUAGAUAAUGAAAUUAAUUACAAUAACAUAUAUGUGUUAAGUAUUUGUAUUUCAAAUUUAGAAGGACUCAUACAAAAAAACCAUCAACAUUGCAAAAAUCUGCAUGCAAUUUCCCAAAUAAAUAGAGACAUAAUUUAAACUUUUUAAAUAAAUUUAAGAAAUCAAAAACUUACAUCUACGAAAAGGGAAUUAUUUUUUGUGAUUUUUUGUUCAAUGAGUUAGAGGGAUCAGAGGAUCACACUGGAAUAUGACAUAAUAUAAAAAAUAAGCAAAAAGUUAUCAAUCAAACUAUUGACCUUCCAAAUAUAAUUUCAUGAACCAAAACUUGAAAAAAAGUAAUAUUUCAAUUCAGAUUGACUCUCAUGAAUCAAACUUGGCCAAUCUACUAUUAUUGUUUUACUUGUGAUUAUUUGAGUAUUAUUGGAGUUAUAAGAAAGAGUGGGAAAAAAAGGGAAAUAUGAUGGCCUCAACUUCAACUGUCCCUAGCAUGCAGCCCUCCCCUGGUCGUGCUGUUGUGGCCCAAGCAUGAACUCACCACAAAUCCUAUUAAUACUUACUGUAGAAAAAGUUAUACAUACAAAUGAUUUGCAUAACUAAAAUGAUGAAUUUCUCGUAUGUCAUUUAUAUAUAUUGUUGUUCAUGUUACCACCAAUUCUUUUUCUUUCUCCUCUAACUAUCAAAAUGAAUGGCAAAUUAACACUGUUUAGGAUGUUGUUUUCUUGUUGAUUAGUUCUCACAUUAGUUCUGUGCUUGUAGUUAAUUUGUGUUUGUUCUGUUCAUUCCCUUUAAUUUAGCUUCUGAUUUCUAUUAUGAUACAGUUUUUGUAUAAUACAUUCUUUUUGUAACUUAAUUUUUCUUAUACUCCUCAAAUUUGUCUGAAGAAAUGAUUUUGCGUUGUUUUAGUUGCCUCUUCACCUACAUUGGCUUUGUUCACUCCAUCAGGUCCUGUAAUACAAAAGGAUUUGCUGAUUUCAAGUGAUUGCUAAACGAGAUGCCAUCAAGCAUCUAUCUUUUCUCAUUCAACCAGCAGUGUUGAGAACUUGCUCUUUCUCGGAGCACAUCUUGUCUCCACCAAUCUACUAUGCAAACCAUCAUCUUUGACAAGACACCUUGAAGGAGGUCAUUUUUAGAUUUACCCAUGAGUGGCCAGUUCUAUUUAUUUGAUUCUUAGAGGUUUUCAGCUUCAUGUGGCAACAAGUUCUAGCUUGAUGAUGUC
rnacentral:lncRNA from 1 species